AUGAACGCUGGCGGCGUGCCUAACACAUGCAAGUCGAACGAGAAAGUUUCCUUCGGGAAACCGGUAAAGUGGCGCAAGGGUGAGUAACACGUGAAUAAUCUGCCUAUGAAUUCGGGAUAACUUGACGAAAGUUGUGCUAAUACCGAAUAAGACCACGUCUCUUAUGUGGAUGUGGCCAAAGGAGUCUCAAACUCCGUUUAUAGAUGAGUUCGCGGACCAUUAGCUUGUUGGCGGGAUAAUAGCCCACCAAGGCUACGAUGGUUAGCCGGCCUGAGAGGGUGAUCGGCCACACUGGAACUGAGACACGGCCCAGACUCCUACGGGAGGCAGCAGUGGGGAAUUUUCCGCAAUGGACGAAAGUCUGACGGAGCAACGCCGCGUGAGGGAUG
rnacentral:rRNA from 1 species